UCCCAAAUCUACAUUGUUACAUGUGGUAGAUUGAACGUGACGGUGUUCGCGUAGACAGCUAGUUAAUUGAGCAGUAAAAACAAAAACAUGGUGGAAACAAAACAUGAGUGCACACCGCCUUUGGAGUUUUCUGUUUAUUUACUUCAAAGUACUAAUAGAAGAAUGCUACAGAAGGACACACUGAUGUAUCCUUCGCUGGGAGGAGAUGAGGAGCCGAGUUGGAAGCUGCUUUGCUUGGCUUCUCCAAUAUUGGGACACUGGAGGGAGGGAGUACACAAAUAUCGAUGUCCAGGGCACGGAGGAGAUGAGGUAUCCCACAUGCAGAACAAGGCAAAGAGGAGUGCCCAGCCAAUGGUGGAAUUGCAGUCUGUCUGGCGACUGGAGAAGCAACUGCAAGGGAUUUUUAUUACAUUGAUAGAGAAUUCCCUACGGUGGGAGUGCUUCACAAGGCCAGGUCAACUCAGAUGAAGCGAAGGUGCCUUUUAUGUGGGAUUGUUCGUCUGCGGAUUUGGUGAUGGGCAGAAGGAUGAGUCCACGGUGAACCCAGAAGCCUGCGCCUCCUUCAGAGACCUGUCGCCACUCUGCUGACUGGAGUCCAGACCCACAGAUCUUUUACAAGGUCUGACUGUCACUAAUUGUUCCAUGGUGUGGAGUAAAUCAACGAGACGCCAGCUUACUCUUUCUGCUCCCCGCAGCCUAGAUCAAUGGAAGACUCAGGAGAACAGGACCAGAGCACGGGCCUUUCAGAGGCCUGUCAGCAUGCCACAGGCUCCCCACAGGAAUAUCAAUGAGGGGCCCCCUCGCUGCCCUGGACUGAUUGAAGAGGCUUCCGUCAAAAGUGCUCCCUACGGUUGCUGCCACUGUGGACAAGCAGAUCCCCAGAACCUCAGGAACAACACUUAAACUAAAACAAAGCAGAUGAGCACACGUCUAUGGGGAAUGAAGGAAAAUAUCUUCCCUGGGCGUAUUGAGAAAAUAGAGUGGGACCACUGGGAUUCAGUAAAUGGGUCGAUGAAAAACAGCAGAAUUUUGACUUUUGGAAUUUUGGGUUCUUAUCAGACAAAAUUAAUGUAUGCAUUUCUGGAAGAGUCCCUUGUUUGUAUUUGCAUCCUGAGGUAAACAUGGCUUAUAAUCUCAGUGUUGCACUAAUGCAUACGGGCAUGUAAGACUGUCAAAACAGUGAUACUAUGGAUGGAAAUAGUUGUAGCUUUCUUGCAGUCUGUGGUCAUGAAGAAGGUAACCCCACAAUGCUUUCUGUCUCCAAAGUGUCUAAAAUAUAACGGGUUGUUUUGGGGGACUGGUUUGCUUCAAACAUCGCUGAGAAAAAAUAGAGCAAUCAUGGGAGAUCUGGUAAUUCAUCAACGCAAAAAAAAGAUAAAUAAUUCCCAGCGGGGGGCACGGAAAGCGAUGGUGACAAGAAGUUUAUGAUAAUGUGAUGAAGAGUGGUAAUGUAUUCACUGAGCAUUUGAACCUGGUCCAGGGCUCCCACGCUGCAUGACUCACCGUGUGAAAGGUACAUUUGCAGAUGAAAUCUCUGAGAACAUUUGAUUUCAUUUCUGCAUACCGUGGUGUCAGUGCGGCGCCAAGUUCCCUCAGUCCAUUUAGUUCCCUCUAAAUGGAAAAUACAGUGCUGCCGUAGAAGGGAAAGAAAUGCAGUGCUGGGAUUCUCCGUUCUCCAGAGGCCUGUGACAGAACUCGCAGGCUUCUCAAGUGUCAUCCUGCAGUGGGUUUUUGCCAAUAGAUGUUUUCCAUCCUGUUUUUGGAGUUCAAAGUUUGACCUUAGCUGGGAGGAGGGUUGUAGGAAAUGUUUGUUUCUGCGUGUGUCCAACCCCUGGUGAACCGCUUGAAGCCAGGCUGUAAAGCCUGUUCUGUCUUGCGUUGUUGAUUUUGGUAAGGGAACAAGAAGCAGGAGCCUCCCUGGUUCUGUCAUCAUGCUGGGUCUGUCACAGUGUCCUGCUGCUCCUCUGCUCUGUCCAAUAAAUCCUUAUCUCCCUCUCUA